rnacentral:tRNA from 1 species
CAAAGCAUAGCUUAACAUAAAGCAUCUAGCUUACACCUAGAAGAUAUCAUAUAUAAUGACUGCUUUGA